rnacentral:rRNA from 1 species
AUACGGAGGAUCCGAGCGUUAUCCGGAUUUAUUGGGUUUAAAGGGUGCGCAGGCGGCCAUUUAAGUCAGCGGUUAAAUCGUGGGGCUCAGCCCCAUUCUGCCGUUGAUACUGGGUGGCUUGAUUGCGGUCGAGGUUGGCGGAAUUCGUUGUGUAGCGGUGAAAUGCAUAGAUAUGACGAAGAACACCGAUUGCGUAGGCAGCUGACCAGAUCGCAAAUGACGCUCAUGCACGAAAGUGCGGGGAUCGAACAGGAUUAGAUACCCUGGUAGUCCGCACAGUAAACGAUGAAUACUUGUUUUCGGCGAUAUAAUGUCGGAGGCAAAGCGAAAGCGAUAAGUAUUCCACCUGGGGAGUACGCCGGCAACGGUGAAACUCAAAGGAAUUGACGGGG